ensembl:lncRNA novel transcript, sense intronic to SNTB2
AUUCCUGUGCAAAAUGCACAGCCAGAUAUUCCACUCUGAGAAUAAUCCAGGAACAAACUUGCUUGCAAAAGCAGGGGAAAUAAUGUUGUGUGACUAACUUAGUUUCACUUAAACUCAUAGUAAAGAUCACCAGUUGGGGCAUGGAAAAGGUAAGAGUUAGAGAUAAAAAGGAACAUAACGAUUAUAUGAGAAGUUGAUGUUUAUAAAAGAGGUUGAUCCAUUUAUCCAAAUAUGUGUGUUUGCAGCCGUAGGCUGUGUCUGCCCUAUUAUGUAUCCUUUUUGGAUAAGGUUUUUGUUUCGUUUCGUUUUGUUUAUUUGUUUGUUUGUUUGAGAUGGAGUUUUGCUCUUGUUGUCCAGGCGGAGGUUGCAGUGAGCUGAGAUCAUGCCACUGCACUUCAACCUGGGUGAUAGAGCCAGACCUUGUCUCA